rnacentral:rRNA from 1 species
AGUGAACGCUGGCGGUAGGCCUAACACAUGCAAGUCGAACGGCAGCACAGUAAGAGCUUGCUCUUACGGGUGGCGAGUGGCGGACGGGUGAGGAAUACAUCGGAAUCUACUUUUUCGUGGGGGAUAACGUAGGGAAACUUACGCUAAUACCGCAUACGACCUACGGGUGAAAGCAGUGGAUCUUCGGACCUUGCGCGAUUGAAUGAGCCGAUGUCGGAUUAGCUAGUUGGCUGGGUAAUGGCCCACCAAGGCGACGAUCCGUAGCUGGUCGGAGAGGAUGAUCGGCCACACUGGAACUGAGACACGGUCAAGACUCCUACGGGAGGCAGCAGUGGGGAAUAUUGGACAAUGGGCGCAAGCCUGAUCCAGCCAUACCGCGUGGGUGAAGAAGGCCUUCGGGUUGUAAAGCCCUUUUGUUGGGAAAGAAAAGCAGCAGGUUAAUACCCCGCUGUUCUGACGGUACCCAAAGAAUAAGCACCGGCUAACUUCGUG